rnacentral:miRNA from 1 species
GUGCUAUUUUGAAUCCAAUACAGAUCUGGACUGGGACAGAGGUAGACAGUGCAAAAGGUCUCUACAUUUUCAACUAAUAUAUAUAUCUACCUCUGUCCCAGUCCAGAUCUGUAUUGGGUUCAAAAUAGUU